AACGAACGCUGGCGGCAUGCCUAACACAUGCAAGUCGAACGAGAGCUUCGGAUCUAGUGGCGCGCGGGUGCGUAACGCGGGGGAAUCUGCCCCUUGCUUCGGAAUAUCAGGUAGGAAUUACUGCGACUACCGCAUGAUGUCUUCGGACCACAGAUUUAUCGGCAAGGGAUGAGCCCGCGUAGGAUUGGGUAGUUGGUGGGGUAAUGGCCUACCAAGCCGACGAUCCUUAGCUGGUCUGAGAGGAUGAUCAGCCACACUGGGACUGAGACACGGCCCAGACUCUUACGGGAGGCAGCAGUGGGUAAUAUUGGACAAUGGGCGAAAGCCUGAUCCAGCAAUGCCGCGUGAGUGAUGAAGGCCUUAGGGUUGUAAAGCUCUUUUACAAGGGAUGAUAAUGACAGUACCUGGAGAAUAAGCUCCGGCUAACUCCGUG
rnacentral:rRNA from 1 species